AUUACACAUAAAACGUGCAUACAAGUUCCAGUUUGAGAAACAAACUUUUUAAAUUCUGUGUAAAACCCAAAUAUUUCUGCCUCUCUGUCUCGUCUUGUUGCUCCUCUCUGCUCCAGUUGACCAGACCGCGGCGCUGUUUUCACAGUUGGCGAACUACCUCUAUUUGGUCAAGGACUAUGUUGUAAAAAUCUUUGAAACUGUUUAUUUUUCGUGAUUUUUUUACUCUUUUGGGGCUCUGCUCGGUGUCAUUAGGGGGACCGUACGACCGGACUGUGUGAGGACUGUGUGACCGGCCGUGGUGUGACUCUUUCGGACAGCUGCUUGGCGGUUUUCUGCCUUCUGACUGGAGCUUUCACUGCGAACCAAGUUAGCUCAACAGCUAAUCCGAAAAGUCACGUCACCUGUGCGGACUCGAAUUAAAAGUUUGACCGUUGCGUCUGGACACCCUUGUGAGUUUUAAACGUUUCACCUUUAAAAACUUUGUCUCCGGUGUUUUUACGCGGGGUUCAUUUUUUAUCCCGUUCUAACGCAGCUGUUACAUUUUCGUUGGAGUCGGCGGUAAGUGAAGCGAAUCAGCGGGGAACAAAUGCCGUUACUACCCGCAGUCAAACACGGUUAAAGGGGAUUUGGGGAGAGAAAUGCGGUAGGUAGCGGACCCCGGCAGUGUUCAGCCCGCUGACUUGGCGGCUCUCGGUUUGCUGCCAGAGAGGCCUGCGGGUCAGGCUUCCACCGGGCUUGAGUAGAGUCCGGCGCCGCCGUCAGGAGGUCGGAGGCCGGCAGUUGGCGCUGCCGCCGCAGGGCCUUCCUACCGAGAGAUGGAACGGAUGGAAGUCGACCAGUGCGCAGGCGCAGCUGGCGGAGCAGGAGGCGGGGCACUCCGAAGAUCGAACAGCGCCCCGAUGAUUACUAGCGUCAGUGAUGGGAUGACCGUCUUCAGUCCCGUGACGUCGGCUCGUUACAGACGCAGCAGUGUGUCCAUUAACCCCAGCUGUCCCUCACAGCUUGUCCCUCUGUCUCCUUUCUCUCUGACUGCAGACCGACUGGACCACAAGCGGCAGGAAGAAAACAUGGAGAUGACGCUCAGAGGAAGUCUGCAGAGAAUAAGUGCUUCCAGUCUGAUUCCAGUUCCUCCAGUCAGUCAGUGGCAUGACCACACGUCAGUGUGGUUUCAGUCACAAGACAGCGGCGUCACACCAAACUCCUCCCCGAGUCCCACCAGAAGGUUCAGACCGGCGGUCAGUGCAACAGUGAGAUGGCCUGCUUUAACUCCACUAAAGAGGAAAGGAGGGGUGGAGUCUGACGGACCCCCAAAGAAGCUCUUUGUUGCCGGCGUAACAGACCCUGCCCACCGCAGCAGCUACACGGUCAGUGUUUCGCAGUCAGCAGCAGGUUCUCCACCUGCAGGUGGCGUCAGUCCUCAGUCCAGCCCUCUGUCUCUGUCACCACCCCCUUCCUUCACACCGUUCACCUCCCACCAGCACCCCGGGCACUAAACCCUCCUCACCCCCCUCACUUAGCAUCCUGACCCCGUCACUGUGGAUGCAGACCAAUGACUCACCUGCACUGCUAUCUGAGCAUCGAACAAGAAGGAUAAAACAAGGAAGCACAUGAACACAAAACCUCAGUGCAUGUUGGUUCACAUGCAGCUCAGAGCAUACAGCCUCUAGAUAAACGGGCUGUCUCACUCUUCGGUUGAAUUUCUCUGAGAACAUGGAUCAUUUCAAACAGGAGAAGGUUUAUUCUGCAUCUUCUUGGAUGGAUUAAAGUUUGAAGCUGCAGCUGGAGUCAAAGUUGACAUUCUUUAUGAAGUUGCCUAUCAUCUCUGAUGGACCGCUCCGAGUUCUCUAAAGGUCUUGAGUUGUAAUCAAGACGUAGUUGCAGGAAAUGACAAAACAUUUGAAGUGUUUUGGUCAAACUUAUGGAACAUCUUCCACUGACACGCAGAGGAACUAAACCAAACAAACUCCAGGAAACUCUUGAAUGUUGUCCUGGAUAUUCAAGUAUGUAUUGCUCUUUAUAACUGUCAGAUUUAAAUGGAUGCAGUUUUGAAGCUGAAAGCACAAGGAUGGAUGCACAGAGAACCUUCUGGACACUAUUAGCACUUAUUUGAAUGAUUGAACCAGAGUUUAGAUGACAAAUUUGCAUCUUUUAUCAACAAAACAAAUUCUCAAAUAUGCAAAUAUCCAGUGAAAUAUGACAAAAGCUUUGUCCUAAGCCAAACUCCACAUAAAGGGGCUAUAGCUUUCAGCAAGGCUAAAUCUGGCUUCCUUUGUGAAGGUUCUCCUGGUAUUUUUGGGCCUGUACCGACUAGACAUGACUAACAGGAAAUUCAGCCACUGAACAAAGCUUCAGUUGUGAAUAUUUCUGUGUUUUAACGAAAACUCAUCUGGUCUGUCAUGGCUUUGUUGGCUGGCUACACACUAAACCUGUGGACGCCUCUUUAAUGAGAAAUUACAACUCAGAUUUAAACAACCAUUCAAACUUCAUGAAAAAGGCGGUAAUUUGAACCUUGAAUAGGUUAAAAUACGGCUGAACAAAGAGACAGGAUUGGGAUGGUGUGUACAUUUUGGUCGUUUCUUAUAACGCUGAGAAAUUAACACAUAAUCAUGGAAAAAUAAACUUUACUUUCUCAACAUGACAAGAUAAAUAAAUGAAAAAACUAAAUGCAUUUUCCAUCAAGGCUAAAAGGACUAAAAUAAAUUCUACAAAUGUAUGGUCUUAUGACUACCAUACAUCUUUAACUCUUUGCAUUCAUAGUUGAUCUUUAUGUCCUGACCCACCAGUUAAAAGCCACUUCAGUGGGUGGUUCUAGGCCUGAAUUGGCCCCGGUAAUAAAGGGGACACGGCCUGAUCUGAGGCUCGUUGCGACCCAGUUUUGAAUCCUAAAUAUUAAACAUGUUUAACAUGUGACCGGGCAUCAGCCAAUGACAGCGAGCAGACCGGGAGGCAUAACCAACCAGGCGCUGCGUACUUUUACCGUUUCUCUAUCAACAAUACCAUCCUCUCAGCCAGGAUUUCACUGAAACUCUUUGUCUCAGUCUUCAACUGCACAAAGUCACGUUUGACCACAAGAGAUUUUAUGUCUGUGGAACAUGAAAACGUUACUACAGACAACAUCUGUGGUUUAAAAACCGUCUCCUGUGUAGCCAUCCUUGUUGAGACUUCUGGUUUUCCUAGAAGAACCGUGACAGACGCUAACUUUCAACCAUGGUUCUUCUGUAGUUUGGUUCCUCCCAGUUCUAGAGGCUGGUUUGACAACCGGUUCCCGCUCAACUGAAGCUCUUCAGUAGUCUUGUUAAUAGUGUAUCUAUAUGUGAAUAUGGACAGUCGGAGCAGCUGUUUUAUGCUCACUUUUCUUCAGCCUGCAGAGUUUGAUUGUAAAUAUUAAAUCUGCAGGAAGAGGCUGUGCUCUGCCCUCUUUAAUGUGCGUUUUUAUUGUGAUCUUUGUUUGUUUCUCUCUGAGCAACUUCAAUCUUUUCUACUUGAAAACAGCCACUUCAUCCUUCACAAAUCUGGAUCUUUUCUGCCAAGCAGUUCAGGAAGGUCAUCUGAGUUAGUCAAAGACACAUUUUAAUAACGGAAAAAUAAACCUGAAAACAUGAGUCCCUUUAGUUCAUUAUUUUUUAAAUUCAUAGAAUAUUCUGGAUUGAAUCUAGGGGAGUCCACAUCUGUUUGAACUAUCCAUAUGAAUGGCACAAUAACUUUUAACACAGCACGAAACAGCCAUCCCGUGCUGUCCUGUCUUUUUUGGCACCCUUCUGUAGGGGUACCAGGUGUUUCUAUUAGACCAGGUACAGUGGAGCUAGACACAGGACACAGCAGGUAGUCUGUUGACUGGUAGAAAAGAAUCAACACUUCCUGCUUGUCUUCUUUUUGUGACAUUCCAAGAGGAAGACGGGGCCUAUCGUCACCCAGCAUACAGCCCCGCCCACCAAGUAAGGUCACGGUUGGCAAUGGAAACACAAGUGGGGGUCAAGGUUUACCGUAUCAAACUGUACCGAAUGCCCCUUGGUGGCUAGUACCCCUCAAUCCAAUGUGCAAUAGUGUGACCAAUGAGCAUUUGCUCAACGUUGAGCAUCGCCCACACUGGGCUCCGCCCCCUAUUGCACACUGCAUUAAGGGGCUUCUCCUUGAUGGAAACGCAGCCAUGGUAGCCCCAAAGAAAGGUGCCAACAAAGUAGGACGGUACUGAUCAGUUAUCUCGGUAACUUUCCAAACUUUUAACAGUGGAAACGCGAAUAACUACGUACUGAACCAAACUGUACCGAACUGAACUGUACUGAUCUGAACUGAACUGUACUGAUCUGAACCAUACUGAUCCGGACUGAACUGUACUGAACCAACCUGAACUGACUGCUUGGUAGAAACCCAGCUAUGAUCGUGUGUGUUUGUGUUUUCUUUAAUGGGCUGCGUUUCUGCUUCCAACUUUUGCACCUACAGUAUUGUACAGUUUUAUAUUCUCACUCUUCAUCGUGCCUAAACAUGUCGCAAUAUUUCAGAAGAGCGAGGGUGCGGCUGUUAACUUAUCCCAUGUUCAGAUAUGUUGGUACAGAGAGUCUCUAGAAGUUUUAAUUAUCUCCUUUUAAAGAUAAAUCUCUAAAACAGCGAUAUGCACAAACGGGACUUCUUCAAAAUGUUUCCAAAUUUUUCCAAGCGUCUUUUUCUCUGCUGUCACGACUUUGCACAGUUGAUCACUUUAUUUUAUUUUUACAUGAACAUAAAAACAUAUCCUCAUUAAUGCUGGUCAAUUUUGCUGCCUUUUCUGUUUUCUUGCUUUAUUUUUCGACUUGUUGUCGUCUCUCCAAGUCCAUCCUGUUUUGCUGCAAAGCAGAGAACUCCUUCCUGGGUUCCUGCAGGAAAUGUAGCUUUUUUAUUUUUACCAAUGACAAUGGUAUUAUGCAACUAAAGAAAGACAGUACUAGCAUCAUGCUUUGGUUUAUUUGAGCAUAUAUCAAACAGUGAAGUUUCUGAUGGCUGUUAAUGGAAACUGAUGAAAUAUCUACUUCUCAAUAUCGCACCUUUAACAAAAAAAAUAUUUAAGGAUUGAAAUAAACAUUUUCAAAAUGUGUCCAAGCCUACAAGUAGUACUAUAUUAUUUUUAGGAAUGUUCUGGACAUGCCCCCCACCCCACCCCACCCGCACCCACUUGGAAAAAGAAAA